UAUGUGGGGGCUUUUUUGGUUGGGGUUUUGUUUGUUUGUUUGUUUUUUAACAGUUGUCGCCUCCUCAAGUUAGCAAAGAACAACAACAAUUUAUAGCUCGGAAACACCGACUUUCAUGGGAAUCAGAAGAAAAGGCCUCCUCUGCAAACCUCCGAAUGCUCAGUUUGAUCUGCCACAGCUUCAAUUCUCACCUCUGCAAGGAGUCCUUCACCUGUUCUGAAGGCCAGUCGUCCACCCAACUCCAGCGCCACAUUCCUGAAUGCUUGCUGCAUUUCCUUCUGCAGAAGUCGCGAGGCCCAUGUUCCCAAGCCCCCUCUGCUCCCCGUCUCACCGUACUUCCGUGGCGGACACUUUGCAGACACCCAGGCUUCAGCCUUUGCCAUCAUCUACUUUGCAUUACAAUCAGGUGCCUCUGUGAUUCUAAAGAAACACAAGGACCCAGUUCCCAGGAGCACACACACGACUAAAGAUCUCACGGAACUGCAGGGCAUUCAAAGCCCUUGGGUUGAGACUCUUCUUAAUGGGCAGCGCCGGACCAUCGCCCCUGACAGCAGAGACGAACGAGGCCAGCCCUGCAGUAACGCCAGCACCUUCCAGACUAAGGCUCAGCGAA